rnacentral:lncRNA from 1 species
GACCUCUUUUAGUGUUGGAAGCAUUCCAGCUACCAACAAAUCCACUGCCCCCAAAACCAAGUAAACCAGGAAGAGGGACACAGGUAAGACCAAGCAUAUGAUUGAUGGCAACAUUUCCUGUAAAAAAAGAAAAAACAAACCUUUCAUUUAUGUAUCCAGUGAGCAGAGCCAACCCCACAGCCUCCAUCACAGUGAGCGAGCAGCUGUCCCCUGCCUCUCUCCCCGCAGUCCUUGGUGCUCCUCUGCUUGUAGACGCGUCACUCCCAUCUCUGCCUCUGUGUUCACAUUAAAAGGGUGUCCUAUAUUUCUUGCAGCAACCCUACCCCCUGCCACUGGCAAAUCGUUGAUAGGUGUCGGUUGGUCAUUCUUCCCCAUCUCUGUCCUCUUCCUUGAAGGCCAAAGGGCUUCUGGUUGAAUCCUCGUGGGGGCGGGGACCCUGUAAGAUAUGGGAAGUGGCAAAGGAACCCAUAUGGACUUUAAAGUUUCUAGCAGAUAAUUCCCAAAGUAAAGAGCUCACGUGGACAUUUCCAGUUUUACAUAAAAUUGUUUCAGCAUUGUACAUGUCACGGUUUUCAAAGCUGAUUUCCAUUUCCAAACUGCUCUGACAACUCUCUGCGAGGACUCGCCACGAUAAUCCUCUUUCUUCGCAGCCAAACCUGAUUGGGGAGGAUGUUCUUGGGCUGGGGGUCCUUUCCCGUCUCCGGUCCUGUGCAGUUAAUGCAGUUGGAGAUGGUUUCUCCGCGGUUCCGUGACCACCUCCAGCCAGCAGCUGGCAAACGCAUUCCUCGUCUCUCGGCCCAUGAAGAGAGCUGGCCUUCUCGCUCGUUGCCCUCCAUCCCUGCCCUCCCCACCUCUGUGGUCACCGAUGGCUCCUCUGGAGACGUUUGGGAUCCGGACGUCAACCCACCUGAGCAGCCAUCAGGGACUCUGAGGUCCACUUCUGCCCACAGCCCUGCUCUGGAGUUCUGAUCUUUCACAUGCACAGUGUCUGCCCCACUGUUGCUCCAUCUUAAAAAUGAGAAUAGAAAUGGCCCUUUAAAAAUACAGCUUUUUUAGCGACGAGAAUGCAUAUAAUUUCCUAAAACCAAAGACCUAAAAUCUGCUGGCUAAUUUCCAGAGCAGUUGCAUCUAUUCCUGACUUUCCUGUCUGCCCGUCCCUUCUUUGGGCCACCUCCCACUGCCACUGCACAGCUGUCUCUCUCCACAUAGAGAACUGACCCUGAACCGUCCUGGAUGGAGCCACCGCUCCCUGCAGGGCUGCCAGCCGCCGUUUUGUUUGCUGCAAUUGUCGUUGGCAGUUCGGAAUCCCAUGACUCUCCCUUCCCCACCCCUGGGCACGAGGAAGCUUUGUAUCGUUCUGACUUUUUGCAGGAAUGUCUCAAAGCACAAAGAAAAUUGUAGGUGCCCAAGACCACGGAUGCAGAAAACAGGUGCCGUACCGGAGACCGAAGCUUUGUCCCCGUGGAAGAGGCAGCGGGUGGGGGUCAGGUGGGCACUUGGAGAUCAGUAAAAUGUGAGCAAGCUAGGCGGCAGAUACACGCAGAAAUCUGUCCACCGGGUGAGUGAGUUUGUCUCGUUAUCAGUCAGAUGGAUGUCCCUGGAGAUGGGAAAACAGCACGUUACCUAGAUCUAUGCUGAGCCUGCAAGCAGAGUGCUGGGUCUCCACCCCAGCAGAAUUGGAGGGGACCUCAUCUGAGCCCCCAGCUGUGACCCCUGACACCUCCUCUGGCCAUCACCUCCCUCUCAGGAUCAUGGUCCCUCUGUUAAAAGAAAAAAGUGAUUAAAGUGAUAAGAAUAAGGGAAAGACUUUUUUUUUCUCAACUGGAAAAUGCAUGUCACAUCGUGCCCUGCGAGCCUGGGCAGA